UCCAUGGUGGCUCAGAGGGUAAAGCGUCCGCCUGCAAUGUGGGAGACCCGGGUUCGAUCCCUGGGUCGGGAA
rnacentral:tRNA from 1 species